rnacentral:lncRNA from 1 species
AUUACCACAUGCAUGGUGAAUGAUCAUUUGUAUUCAUUCCUUAUUAAAUUGUGGAAAUGAUCAGUUUACGUUGAUUAUGAUGAGAGUCAUAAUAAAAGCAUUGGACUGAUAAAAAUUAUGGGUAUAUAUGGUAUUAGUAAAUGUUAUGAUGAGUUAUGUUGGUUAUUAUGUGAAAACAUGAAAGUUUCUUAGAAAUCACAAAGGGUUGAAAAAUUAGAUUUUGGUGAAAACAGAACAUGAAAUUCAAUUGACAAUAUCUCCUAUUAUAUUUCUAAUUUCUGAGUGUGGUCAAGUUCUAGAGUUAGAUAUAUGAGUUUUAUAACUUAUCCAAG